rnacentral:rRNA from 1 species
GACUACCGGGGUAUCUAAUCCUGUUUGAUCCCCACGCUUUCGUGCCUGAGCGUCUAUUACAAAUUCGUAACCUGUCUUCACGAUCGGUGUUCUGUGUUAUAUCUAAGCAUUUCACCGCUACAUAACACAUUCCAGCUACGUCAUUUGCAUACUAGUCCAACAGUAUCAAUGGCACGAUACAUGUUAAGCAUGUAGAUUUCACCACUGACUUAUUAGUCCGCCUGCGCACCCUUUAAACCCAAUAAAUCCGGAUAACGCUUGGAUCCUCCGUAUUACCGCGGCUGCUGGCACGGAGUUAGCCGAUCCUUAUUCUAUAGGUACUUGCAAUUAGUUACACGUAACUAACCUUACUCCCUAUUAAAAGCAGUUUACAACCCGUAGGGCCGUCUUCCUGCACGCGGCAUGGCUGGGUCAGAGUUGCCUCCAUUGCCCAAUAUUCCUUACUGCAGCCCCCCGUAGG